NAGUAGGUAUAAAGGGUAUUUUGCAAAAAUACUUAUGGUAAGUAGUUAGUUACCCGUACUUUU
rnacentral:tRNA from 1 species